GGGAGACUACGAUAUGCACGGGUGACGCGGCUCAGUGAUCACCGGGGGUGCUGGACGCGGUUGAUGAGCAUGCAGGUGUCAACUGUGCUAGAGGCAAUGUGAUCUAGGUUACGCAUGAUGAGACGGGCACAUAACAACGAUGUGUGCUGGAGGGUUGUUGGUAUGUGCAAGUUCCUUUGAGCGCCUUUAGGAUUUGCUUCAAGAUCAACGAUGCCCGAUCUCUUCACGCCAUAGAGUACAGUCUCUCCAGGGCUAUUACCAAUUAGAGUGACGCCAGUGACAACCGCCACCAUUACGGAUGAAAAUGGUUAGAAAUGGAGGCUAAAUUGCUUUUAUUUUUAUUUUUUUUCUCGAAAAUGAAGUCGAUAACAUAUUGUCGGAAAUGAAUACGGCACCGAUAUUAUGGUAAUUUUGAAAGUAGUAGUAGUAGUUAAUCAAAAAAUACAUCGAUAAUGAUCGGAAUCCAUGGGACUGAUAUCCUCAAAAUGGUAUUACACAUACCAUAGAACAUGAGAAUUGCCAUAUAACUCGACUUAUCUCACAUGACAAUAAUAAAUAAAGCCACAAUUGACAAACGAUAGUUUACACCAUCUUAGAUCUCAAACAAGUUAAACUCUAAAUUCUGUUCGUGUUUGUAGUGAUGACUGGCUAGAGUUAUAGGUGCAGUAUGUGAUUGAUUAAUUGUCUUCUUGUUCCUAUACGGAUGAAAUACAUACGGUAUAGUUGCUUUCCAAAAAAAUAUUUACCUUAUGUGCUUGCGUGUGUGCAGAUGGAAUUCUUAGAUGUGGGCCAACUAAACCUAAAGUAUAUGCAUUAUAUAGUUUAUAAAUAAAUUAGGAUUCAGGACUUUCGAAUUGAUUAUUACCGACGAUAAAUUACCAGCUAAAUACGGCAAUCUUCAAAAAUGAUCGGAAGAGGAUAAAAUCGUUUUCGCUUUCAUUUCCAAAUAUUUUUAUUUUUGUCAUUUUCGUUUUUUAGUUAUCGCUACAGUUUC
rnacentral:lncRNA from 1 species